rnacentral:lncRNA from 13 species
CCGUAUCCAGGCAACCAACACAUCUUAACUCAUAUAAAAAGAAAGGCAGCCUGGAGUUCCAGGAGUCAAGGAGAAGAUCCACUGCCUGGUUCUUUUUUCCCAGGAGGAAAGGAACUGAUAGGUGGGGAAUUCUGAGGUCCAACUUUGAUCCAUAUCUUGUUAUGACGGGUUCAACUGAUCAGCAGGAACUGGAGUGAGGAAUACAUGGCAGAAAUCCAGGACCUCGGAAUCAUUAACUAGCCAGAAAUGCAGUCCAGGUGAAAGUAUCACAUGGGAGAUACCUAGAAGGACAAAGAUCAUGAAAUAGAUGGAAAUAACCACUUGGAUUAAAAUGUAAGUAAAUAAUCCACAAUUCACAGUGGUGAAAAUAUUUAGACUUGAUUGAGGCUAAGUUUGUAUUAGG